rnacentral:misc_RNA from 1 species
GCAAACUUGGUCAUUUAGAGGAAGUAAAAGUCGUAACAAGGUAACCGUAGGUGAACCUGCGGUUGGAUCAUUACUGAGUGCGAAAAAAAUUUUCCCAAUUGUGAACUGUUACAUUUCUUUGGUGGCCCACAAACAUGUGGGCGCGUCUUAUUACUUAGCUACUCACUUGAUCGAUGUCUUGAGAGUUGGCCAUUUUAAGAUGCAACUUCGGGCCACCUAAUUAUGUUAAAUUCCUUGUUUUAAGUAUAUUUUGUCUUUUACAGGAUUCGCGUUAUCCAGUGGAUCCAACAAUAAAACAAGAACAACUUUGGACAAUGGAUCUCUUGGCUCUUGCAUCGAUGAAGAACGCAGC